GACGAACGCUGGCGGCGUGCUUAACACAUGCAAGUCGAGCGGUAAGGCCCUUUCGGGGUACGACGAGCGGCGAACGGGUAGGAGUAACACGUGGGUGGACCUCGCCCUCCAGCUCUGGGAGUAAAGCCUCGGGAAACCGGGGUACCGUAAUAACUGGAUAUGACUCCAUGACGCAUGUUGUGGGGUGGAAAGCCUUGUGCGGCUGAGGAUGGGCCCGCGGCCUAUCAGCUUGUUGGUGGGGUGANGGCCUACCAAGGCGACGACGGGUAGCCGGCCUGAGAGGGCGACCCGGCCACACUGGGACUGAGACACGGCCCAGACUCCUACGGGAGGCAGCAGU
rnacentral:rRNA from 1 species